rnacentral:rRNA from 1 species
GAGUUUGAUCGUGGCUCAGGACGAACGCUGGCGGCGUGUCUAACACAUGCAAGUCGAACGGGGUACCCGGAAGUGAGGCUUCGGCCAAGCGGAAGGACUACCUAGUGGCGGACGGGUGAGUAACGCGUGAGCAACCUGCCUUUCAGAGGGGGAUAACGGCUGGAAACGGCCGCUAAUACCGCAUAACGCAUGAAGGGGGCAUCCCUUUUGUGCCAAAGAUUUAUCGCUGAAAGAUGGGCUCGCGUCUGAUUAGCUAGUUGGUGAGGUAACGGCCCACCAAGGCGACGAUCAGUAGCCGGACUGAGAGGUUGAACGGCCACAUUGGGACUGAGAUACGGCCCAGACUCCUACGGGAGGCAGCAGUGAAGAAUAUUGCGCAAUGGGGGCAACCCUGACGCAGCAACGCCGCGUGAAGGAUGAAGGUUUU